GAUGCGAGAGAGGCGCGAGUGCUGGCCCGACGCUGUGACUUACGCUCUUCUCGUCCGCCACUGCUGCAAGCAAGGGGAGAUCGAGCAAGCGUGUCGAAUCGUGUCCAUCGCGGCUUGUUCCCAGUGCUGCCAUCGCCAGCAUGCUUGCGAUCCAAACUGGUAGCGGUGAUGGUCCCCGCCAUCGCCAGCAUGCAUGAGAGCUCGAUCCAAACUGGUAGCGGUGAUGGUCCCCGCCAUCGUCAGUGGCUGCAAAGCUUUCUCGUACGGGCGGAUAGUUCCUUCAAAGUUUUCCGUUCGCUCUAUAUCUCCAGCCUUUCUCCUUCCCGACCAAGCUUCAGGCUCCAGGAGAGGUUGCCGGCCUUACACCUUUCGCUUCGAGUACGACAGGUUCCUCGAGUAACAGGGGCGGGUUCUUGAGAGCUGGCGUCAGUUUUGCUCGACCUUUGCAAGGCUUACGGCUUACAACUGCGUCAAGAGGUAUGGAGGCUAUGAGAAGGUUAUCGUGCAGCGGAAGUGGGGGAAAGAAGCCGGACGUAAGUGCCUCCUUUCCUACUGCCGCUCCUGCGAACCUGUGCCACCUAUACGAGAAACAUCUGCUGGAAUAUGAGCGCCAUCAUGCAGAAGGCUUCGGGAAGCAGGCAACUAACAACGUCAGGAAUGGUGAAGUACUGGACGUGAAGAUUCGGAGGAAGAGAUCUCUGGUGAAGAUGAAGUCAGUGUGUCGGUGGAGCCGCGAAACGAACUAAAUCGGACGAUGAAGCUCCAUGCAGCAAAGGCUUGGGGACCAGUCCUGUGAGCAAUGCCGCAGCGGAGCACAUGAGCAGCUUAUGAUCACCUGUGACCGGGCGUGGCAUAUGUAUUGCCUGUCCCCUCCUCUGUCGAAAAUGCUCUCUGGGAGGUGGUACUGCCUCGACGUUUUCUCAAGGCAACUGGCACAUGCUGGACUCUUUCCGACGUCUACAGGACCUAUUGAAGUGCUAUAUGGAAGCGAUCUCGAUACGUCUCUGUGUAUGGAAGUGAAUUUCCCCGUCCGUCGGAUGCAGUUCCAAAGUGGGCUAAGCAGGAUAUGCUCUUCUCCUCGUUUUGCUGGCAUUACGAAGAUCAUUGCUUCUACUCUGUGAAUUAUCUUCACUGAUGCUGGUAUAGUGUGCCUGGCAGUGCUUACGACGCAUUUGAAGAGACAGGCUAUGCGAUCUACAUUCCCAGAUUUAUUUCAUGCACAGCCGGACUUGCCCUUUCAACUGGUUACGAUGCUUAAUCCAGCUGUGUUGCGGGCUAAAGGUGUGCCUGUCUGCACAACUUUGCAGGAGUCUGGAAACUUUGUGAUCACAUUUCCACGGUCUUAUCACGGAGGAUUUAACCACGAAGCUUUCACCGUUGCAAGCAAAAGCUUUGAACCGAGACAUUUUGCUUCUGACUUCUGAUGCCGAGAGAAAAGAUUCCACCUCUGGGGUCAUGGCAGCCAGAGUCUCG